GACCUUUUGAACCUGAACACCCUGAGAGGUACAAAAACCGCUUUUUAAACCCCUAUACGGUACGAACAGCACCACUGUCCUUUUUAUAUAUGAGUCCCCCCGGCGCGCAUAUGUCACAUUGAUUGUGUUUAUAGCCACUGUAUUGCAUGGUAUAAAAUAGUUAUAGAAUGCUCUCUCGUGGUAUACAAUAGAAUAUCCCACUAGUCACUUGUAUUUUCUUGGUUGGCAAGAGCCUAAAGAUCCCUAAAGGCUCGCGUGUACGUAUGUACCUAGAAAAUACUAUUGACUCGCGGGAUAUUCCAUGGCCGUACCACGAGAAUUAAAGCAUUGCAUAACUAGCAUGUAUCUGAGCGUGUAGAUUCGUUCAUUGCAAUACUAAUUACAAGCCACUGCAACUGACUUAGACUAUGAACACAGUCAGCUCUCAUCUUGAGGUGACUGAAGCAGGCUACAGUUGAUGUGGUGAGAGCCUUCGAGCAGCCUUCGUCGCUCGUGGCGUAGCACCUCGAAGAGCCUGCUGGCGGGCAGGUCGCGGGCUAAUGCAGUGGCCCCGUCUUUGGCCCGGCAACGCAAAAGAUUGUUCUCAACAUAAGAUCGUACAUGCGCUUGAUUUUAUACCAGGUCAGCCAUCUAAAUUGACGACAAAAUAAUGACCGAGAUGUCUUCCGCACAGUGGUCGAGACUCUCCCCCCAAAAAUUAUUAUUUUUACACCAGGUUUUACAGUCUGCGAUAUUACAACAACUUUGACAAACACUGAAUGGUUAACUCACAAGUGGGGAAAUCUCGGAGAAAACUAUGGAGGUAUAUCUAUGACAAAAUUCAGUACUCAGUACGGAAUUGAUAUCAAAUUAUCCAAAAUGUACAUGCAUCAAUUAAAAGCUGAAUGGCAACUAGCCGAUUCUACAAAUGGUCAUUAAGCAAACAGGCAUCACGCUAAAAGGCAUCACGCGAAAAGGCAUCAUGCUGAUAGGUAUCACGCCUAAAGACAUCAUACGAAAAGGCAUCAGCAAAAAGGCAUCACGCUAAAAGGCAUCACGCUAAAAGGUAUUACACUUACUAAAAGGUAUCACGCGAAAAGGCAUCACACAAACAGGUAUCACGCAAAAAGGAAUAACGCUUCUGCUUGUGUCCCUACACGUAAUCUCCCUCUGGCACCAUGAUAAAGGAGAGGUGUAGCUGCAGUAGUGAAUUCAUGUUCAUGAAGUUCUUGUACUAUUGCCAAUGUCCUACGAAGAAGGCCCAGCACUUGUCCGCCAUCUUGAAAAAUACUAGUCGAUCUCAAAAGGACGUCAAUUACAUGUUCUAAACGGAAAGAAAUGCAAUCGUUUUCGAUUCCAGAGCUCACUUGCUGUAUAAUAACUCUCUCAAGGCACGCCUCAGGUACUGAAUUAAGACCACGCGAGGGGACAAAGAAGGUAUGUCUCGCUCAAAAACCAUUUUGAGAAGGCUGUUAUCUUACAAAAAACGAGUACGAAAAGUAAGUCCCGGAUAUAAUUUUUGUCUUUUCGCGCGAUGAGUUUUCGGUUGAUGCCUUUUGGCUUGAUGCCUUUUCGCGUGAUACCUUUUUGCGUGAUGCCUUUUCGCGUGAUGCCUUUACGCGUGAUGCCUUCACGCGUGAUACCUUUUCGCGUGAUGCCUUUUUGCGUGAUGCCUUUCAACGUGAUGCCUUUUCGCGUGAUGCGUUUAGCGUGAUGCCUGUUUGCGUAAUGACUAUUUGUAGAAUCGGCUAGUUGCCAUUCAGCUUUGGAUAAUAGAUGCAUGCACAAAUAUUAUCAAUUACUGAGUAUUGAAUUUUGUCAUAGAUAUACCUCCAUAGAAUUUUAUCACAGAUAUACCUCCGGGGCGCUUAUUUCAAAUUUAGGAGAAAACGUGGUCGCGUAUUUGAGGGGGCACUUAACCGAGUGGGCGGAGCGGGGUAGGGACGCUUAUUUAAUUUCCCCCAAAUCGUGGCCUGACAUGAUCAUUUUUUUAAUGCAUCAUCUGCGCGUAAACAACGACAUAAGCUGUUUAUUGACACAAAAAGCUGAUCCUACAGUUUGAAUCGCUGCAUCAACGUGUGAAACAACGUACAAAUCUAAUACUGACAUGACGAAGACUAUACAUCCUUUGUUGUCUCAUUACUCGUCUAAAAAAUGAGGGGAGGGGGCGCUUAUUCGAGGGUAGGUAGAGGGGGCGGCGCUAACUUUAAAUUUCGGCCGAUAUGCUGAGGGGCGCUAAUUCGAAGGAGGCGCUUAUUCGAGGGGGGGCGGGGGGCGCUAAUUCGGGAAAAUGGAAUGAAGAGCGGCAAAACCCGUCGUGCCAGUCCUACUCUGCGUCAAUCAUCUUCUGCAACGAUCGAUCUCGGUGGACUCUUUCAGUUCUUUCUUCCCCGAUUUUUCUCCGCCACAGUAAGAUGGGAAGUUUCGAAAUGCACGUUGACGUAAACUUUGCACAUUGUAAAGUAAACCAGGUCAGAGCGGAAGCAAUUCCAAUGCAUCAGCAGAGAGCACAUCUCGACCUUCCAAGGUACACAGUGGGUAGCACCACAUAUUGGAGGAGCUGAAAUUUCCUCUUCUAGAAAGGAAAUGUUGAGAUGCAUCAGCUACUUAUAAUUUUCCUACUGGAAGUCUCAUAUUCUGGUCCAUCAGCUGAUGCUCAGGGGAACACACCAGGGUGUAGUUGUAAGUAUCUUUUUACUUCUCAUUUCAUCACAUCGAUUUCUUGUGAACCAAUUUCGUUGAUGUAAAAGUCACCUAGUGGUCUUGUGUUUUUCUUUAAAGGAAAUCUUGAGUGAAAAGCAGUCCAAGUUCCAAUUAAAGUAUACCUAAUGGUUCUCUCAAACUGAUACUAGGGUUCUAAGUUGAUAUCUCUGCAAGUGGUUUGAAUAUGAAGUGUUUGGUUUUCAGUUUAAAUCACCUGGCCGUCUCCAUAUUUACUUUAUGGUAAUUUUUGAUGUCAUUAUUCGGUCAAAGAUCUCAAUAUGGAGUCUACAGAAGAAGAUUUUCACCUUGAAACUGAACGUAUAUAUCUCCAAUGUGAAUUGCAAACAAUUAGAAGCACUUUUUAACACCUCUAAAUUCACGCAGUGCUGUAUCUUAGAAUGGCUGACUGCGCAUUUACGUCAUAAUUUCCCAUCAAAUUUGCAAAAGUAAAUUAACAUAGCAGCACGCUGGAAAUUUGAAACCCUAAAAUAGCUGAAAGGAAACGGCCAGCAUUCUAAAAAGGCAAAGAAUUAUUGACCUCAAAUAGCGUGAACUAUUUCAUUUAGUGGAAAAUAUUGUUCAAUUAAAAACUAUUUUGACUUUUAAAUGACAAUAAAAUAUUUAUUCCGAUUAAUAAUUGAUUUUCAUCUUUUCCAUUUUAUUUUCCAUGAUGGGGAACAAAUUAGAUCGUAAGUAUUAUUGCUGUUACUUUUCAAUUCAUCAUGUCAAUUUCCUUUGAACCAAUCUAUUUAACUUGAUGUUACCUACAGCGUAGUAGUCAUGUGUUUCUUUUCUUUAAUGAAGUUCUUUAAAGGAAGAAAAUUUCAUCUUUCAGUUAAAAACUAACUUCAGUCUGAAUCUGAAACAACCCAAUAAAAUUCUAGUUCCUAUUAACAGUUAAAUAUUUUAAAUUUCUGUUACUAAUUGAUUUUGAUCUUUUCUAUUUUAUUGUUGAUGUUGGGAAUAAAUCAGAGAGUAAGUAUCUUUUACUUGGUACUUAUAAUUUCCCAUUGCUUGGAGGUAUUUUGUUUCUUAUUCCAUUGAUUUAUUUCUUUUAAGGAACGAUAUAAAUCCCUUUAUAAUUAAUUUUCAUCUUUUCUUUUAAUACCAUUUUUUUCUAGAAAUAAAUUUUCCCAAUCAAUAAAUUCGUUAAAGAGAAAAAAUUUCUUUCGAUUAAAAACUAUUUUGAAUGAUAAAUAAUGCAAUAAAAUAUCAAUUCCUGUUAGCAAUAAAAUAUAAUUCCUGUUAAUAAUUGACUUUCAUCUUUUCCAUGUUAUUGUUGUUGUCGGGAACAAAUCAGGCUGUAAGUAUCUUAGUUUUCACUUCCCACUUAUUUUCCAGUUACUUGAUUGUCUUCUCUAUCUUAUCUUUUGAUUUAUUUCUCAUAAGGAAGAGAAUAUAAAUUCCUUUUAAUAAUUUCUUUUCAUCUUUUCCUUUCGUGUGGAUGUUGGGGAUCAAAUCAGGUCGUAAGUAACAUUCUUUAUUCUUCACAUGAAUUGAUUUUGAACCAAUUUACUUAUGUGAAGUUAUCUAGCUGGUCGUGUCUUUAUUUAACUCAAUAAAAUGCUAAUUAUUAUUAACAGUUAUAUCUUGUAAAUUUGUGUUACUAAUUGAUUUUGAUCUUUCCCAUUUUAUCGUCAAUGUUGGGGAACAAAUCAGCUAGUAAGUAUCAUUCUUCUACCUUUUCAAUUCAUGACAUAACUUUCUCCUGAACUAGUGUACUUAAUGAAGAUUCACAUGUACUUAGCGGUCAGAUUGUGUUUCUUUGUCUAUAAUAAAUUUCUUAAAAGGAAGAAAUGUUAUCUUUAAGGGAAAAACUAUUUGUCAAUCUGAAAUAAAACAAUAACAUUAAUUCAUUUUCAUCUUUAUAUUUCCUCUAUCCUUGCUGGGGAACAAAUCAGCUGGUAAGUACAUAUAUAUUUUUUUACUUUUCAGUUAAUCACAUCUAGUUUUUU